rnacentral:sRNA from 1 species
UCGACCAAGGUUCGAGUCUCACGCAGUGAGACAACGCGCUUCAGCGCGGCCCGCAGGGUGAGUCGCACCGCGACGAGUCAUCCUUCCCCCACCACCA